GACGAACGCUGGCGGCGUGCUUAACACAUGCAAGCCGAGCGGUAAGGCUCCUUCGGGAGUACACGAGCGGCGAACGGGUGAGUAACACGUGAGUAAUCUGCCCCUGGCUUUGGGAUAGCCACCGGAAACGGUGAUUAAUACCGGAUAUGACCACGUCUCGCAUGGGGUGUGGUGGAAAGUUUUUCGGCCAGGGAUGUGCUCGCGGCCUAUCAGCUUGAUGGUGAGGUAAUGGCUCACCAUGGCUUCGACGGGUAGCCGGCCUGAGAGGGUGACCGGUCACACUGGGACUGAGACACGGCCCAGACUCCUACGGGAGGCAGCAGUGGGGAAUAUUGGACAAUGGGCGGAAGCCUGAUCCAGCAACGCCGCGUGAGGGAUGACGGCCUUCGGGUUGUAAACCUCUUUCAGUACCGACGAAGCGCAAGUGACGGUAGGUACAGAAGAAGCACCGGCCAACUACGUGCCAGCCGCCGCGGUAAAAC
rnacentral:rRNA from 1 species